UGGGGAAUCUUGGACAAUGGGGGCAACCCUGAUCCAGCCAUGCCGCGUGAGUGAUGAAGGCCUUAGGGUCGUAAAGCUCUUUCGCCUGUGAAGAUAAUGACGGUAGCAGGUAAAGAAACCCCGGCUAACUCCGUGCCAGCAGCCGCGGUAAUACGGAGGGGGUUAGCGUUGUUCGGAAUUACUGGGCGUAAAGCGCACGUAGGCGGACCAGAAAGUUGGGGGUGAAAUCCCGGGGGCUCAACCCCGGAACUGCCUCCAAAACUAUUGGUCUAGAGUUCGAGAGAGGUGAGUGGAAUUCCAAGUGUAGAGGUGAAAUUCGUAGAUAUUUGGAGGAACACCAGUGGCGAAGGCGGCUCACUGGCUCGAUACUGACGCUGAGGUGCGAAAGUGUGGGGAGCAAACAGGAUUAGAUACCCUGGGUAGUCCACACCGUAAACGAUGAAUGCCAGUCGUCGGGUAGCAUGCUAUUCGGUGACACACCUAACGGAUUAAGCAUUCC
rnacentral:rRNA from 1 species